GAUGAACGUUGGCGGCGUGCCUAACACAUGCAAGUCGAACGAUAGUCGCAAGACUAUAGUGGCGCACGGGUGAGUAACACGUAGCUUACCAGCCUCUCAGCGCGGGAUAACGGCUCGAAAGAGGUGCUAAUACCGCAUAAGCUCACGGGAUGUAGAGACUAGUGAGAAAAGGUGCAAAUCACUGAGAGACGGGGCGUGCGGCCCACUCAGCUAGNGGUUGGCGGUAACGGCGCACCAAGGCGACGACGGGUAGGGCC
rnacentral:rRNA from 1 species